UGUGUUGGUCUCAUUACGUUUCAAGCUGAACAGAAAGAGGCAAUGAAUAUUAAUAACAAACAGAUGAAAGCAAUAUCUCAGCAACUUCAGCAGUCUGAAGACAGGAUAGACCACAAGGCUAGUAAUAAUUGCUUGGCGGAAUUGAUGGUCAGACCAAUAAGAUAUUCAAUGUUGUGGUGAGACGAAUGGACAAGCUGACAACAACUGAGGAAGGAGACACAGUUCUAUUUAAAAGUGCAUUUGAACAGCAGGGUACCUUCCAACAACUGGCAUCUGUUGUGAAUGAAUCAGUGGACAAUCGAAAUAAAGAAGUUAAUAUUUCUGCAAUGGACACAUCAUCUAAGCCAAAAUUUGACCUUAGCCAGUACAACGCAAGUUUACCAAAAGUACA
rnacentral:lncRNA from 1 species